rnacentral:rRNA from 1 species
GUUAAGCGACUAAGCGUACACGGUGGAUGCCCUGGCAGUCAGAGGCGAUGAAGGACGUGCUAAUCUGCGAUAAGCGUCGGUAAGGUGAUAUGAACCGUUAUAACCGGCGAUUUCCGAAUGGGGAAACCCAGUGUGAUUCGUCACACUAUCAUUAACUGAAUCCAUAGGUUAAUGAGGCGAACCGGGGGAACUGAAACAUCUAAGUACCCCGAGGAAAAGAAAUCAACCGAGAUUCCCCCAGUAGCGGCGAGCGAACGGGGAGCAGCCCAGAGCCUGAAUCAGUGUGUGUGUUAGUGGAAGCGUCUGGAAAGGCGCGCGAUACAGGGUGACAGCCCCGUACACAAAAAUGCACAUACUGUGAGCUCGAUGAGUAGGGCGGGACACGUGGUAUCCUGUCUGAAUAUGGGGGGACCAUCCUCCAAGGCUAAAUACUCCUGACUGACCGAUAGUGAACCAGUACCGUGAGGGAAAGGCGAAAAGAACCCCGGCGAGGGGAGUGAAAAAGAACCUGAAACCGUGUACGUACAAGCAGUGGGAGCACGCUUAGGCGUGUGACUGCGUACCUUUUGUAUAAUGGGUCAGCGACUUAUAUUCUGUAGCAAGGUUAACCGAAUAGGGGAGCCGAAGGGAAACCGAGUCUUAACUGGGCGUUAAGUUGCAGGGUAUAGACCCGAAACCCGGUGAUCUAGCCAUGGGCAGGUUGAAGGUUGGGUAACACUAACUGGAGGACCGAACCGACUAAUGUUGAAAAAUUAGCGGAUGACUUGUGGCUGGGGGUGAAAGGCCAAUCAAACCGGGAGAUAGCUGGUUCUCCCCGAAAGCUAUUUAGGUAGCGCCUCGUGAAUUCAUCUCCGGGGGUAGAGCACUGUUUCGGCAAGGGGGUCAUCCCGACUUACCAACCCGAUGCAAACUGCGAAUACCGGAGAAUGUUAUCACGGGAGACACACGGCGGGUGCUAACGUCCGUCGUGAAGAGGGAAACAACCCAGACCGCCAGCUAAGGUCCCAAAGUCAUGGUUAAGUGGGAAACGAUGUGGGAAGGCCCAGACAGCCAGGAUGUUGGCUUAGAAGCAGCCAUCAUUUAAAGAAAGCGUAAUAGCUCACUGGUCGAGUCGGCCUGCGCGGAAGAUGUAACGGGGCUAAACCAUGCACCGAAGCUGCGGCAGCGACGCUGAUGCGUUGUUGGGUAGGGGAGCGUUCUGUAAGCCUGUGAAGGUGUGCUGUGAGGCAUGCUGGAGGUAUCAGAAGUGCGAAUGCUGACAUAAGUAACGAUAAAGCGGGUGAAAAGCCCGCUCGCCGGAAGACCAAGGGUUCCUGUCCAACGUUAAUCGGGGCAGGGUGAGUCGACCCCUAAGGCGAGGCCGAAAGGCGUAGUCGAUGGGAAACAGGUUAAUAUUCCUGUACUUGGUGUUACUGCGAAGGGGGGACGGAGAAGGCUAUGUUGGCCGGGCGACGGUUGUCCCGGUUUAAGCGUGUAGGCUGGUUUUCCAGGCAAAUCCGGAAAAUCAAGGCUGAGGCGUGAUGACGAGGCACUACGGUGCUGAAGCAACAAAUGCCCUGCUUCCAGGAAAAGCCUCUAAGCAUCAGGUAACAUCAAAUCGUACCCCAAACCGACACAGGUGGUCAGGUAGAGAAUACCAAGGCGCUUGAGAGAACUCGGGUGAAGGAACUAGGCAAAAUGGUGCCGUAACUUCGGGAGAAGGCACGCUGAUAUGUAGGUGAAGCGACUUGCUCGUGGAGCUGAAAUCAGUCGAAGAUACCAGCUGGCUGCAACUGUUUAUUAAAAACACAGCACUGUGCAAACACGAAAGUGGACGUAUACGGUGUGACGCCUGCCCGGUGCCGGAAGGUUAAUUGAUGGGGUCAGCGCAAGCGAAGCUCUUGAUCGAAGCCCCGGUAAACGGCGGCCGUAACUAUAACGGUCCUAAGGUAGCGAAAUUCCUUGUCGGGUAAGUUCCGACCUGCACGAAUGGCGUAAUGAUGGCCAGGCUGUCUCCACCCGAGACUCAGUGAAAUUGAACUCGCUGUGAAGAUGCAGUGUACCCGCGGCAAGACGGAAAGACCCCGUGAACCUUUACUAUAGCUUGACACUGAACAUUGAGCCUUGAUGUGUAGGAUAGGUGGGAGGCUUUGAAGUGUGGACGCCAGUCUGCAUGGAGCCGGCCUUGAAAUACCACCCUUUAAUGUUUGAUGUUCUAACGUUGACCCGUGAUCCGGGUUGCGGACAGUGUCUGGUGGGUAGUUUGACUGGGGCGGUCUCCUCCUAAAGAGUAACGGAGGAGCACGAAGGUUGGCUAAUCCUGGUCGGACAUCAGGAGGUUAGUGCAAUGGCAUAAGCCAGCUUGACUGCGAGCGUGACGGCGCGAGCAGGUGCGAAAGCAGGUCAUAGUGAUCCGGUGGUUCUGAAUGGAAGGGCCAUCGCUCAACGGAUAAAAGGUACUCCGGGGAUAACAGGCUGAUACCGCCCAAGAGUUCAUAUCGACGGCGGUGUUUGGCACCUCGAUGUCGGCUCAUCACAUCCUGGGGCUGAAGUAGGUCCCAAGGGUAUGGCUGUUCGCCAUUUAAAGUGGUACGCGAGCUGGGUUUAGAACGUCGUGAGACAGUUCGGUCCCUAUCUGCCGUGGGCGCUGGAGAACUGAGGGGGGCUGCUCCUAGUACGAGAGGACCGGA